AAAGAUCUGUGUGUGAGCUUAUUUAAAAAAAAAAAAAGAAAAGAAAAAAUAUCCCCAAACCAAACAACAGAAAAAAACACCACACAUGCAAAAUUUGAACUAAAUCUAAGUCAUUAGCUUCUAUCAGAUCAGACUUCUGCCUGGCUCAUGCUCCCCACUUCACCUCCUCUUUUACAGAGUGAACUGUGCAGCGCAGAGAUGGUUUUAGGCUGAAUGAUAGACUGCAAGAAAGACUACCACACAGAAGUGCCAGUUGAGCCCUCCCCUAGGAAAACAGCUCCCUUAUACCCCUUUUUAAGAGAUUUAUUAUUUUAUAAAGCACAGCAAACACCCCACACUGCCCAGAUGUGCAUGCAUUCAUUACUGAAGUCCAAACAGAAACCUGCAACGAACACAAAGGCACACAUCCCCACCUGAAACCAAAGCACAUUUGAUUCUUCUUGGGGUUUAAGGACAGCAGACAAAAAGGUUUUCUGGGUGGUUUGGGGAGCAUUUUUGCAGGACAGGGUGGACAAAACCUGGGCCUGGCAGCUAAAGGAGCCCAAAUCCUACCACACUCAAUUCUCAAGAGCUGAAGAGACAGACAGCAAACCUAGCCAGGUGAGGUUGGGGUUUGGGUGUUGAUGGAAGAGGUCUAGAGCUUUAAUCAGGGAAAUUUCUCAUGUUUGAUUCUGCCUGGGCACCUAGGAACUGACUCUCUAUACUUAGUAUGUAAAUAAAUACAGUACCAUCAAAGCCAACAAUCUCCUGGGAUUUCUCUCCUGAGUCAGCUUUGCAAACUCUACAUUUUUGGCCAAUCGUUCUGAUGAAAACCGACAGCAACACACUUUGCUGUGCACCUCAGAAACAAAGUGUGACCCUUGCAUGAAACCUCCCACUUUUCACAGGGCUGGUAGGGUCCCAGCAUCCCCUCUCUGGGGGCUGGCCAGCUCAAAUGAAUGAGGCAUGGCAGAAAUUAAACAGAGGUUAAAAUUACUGUACAAUGGUAUGCAUAUACUCGGGUGUGCAAGGAGGAUGAGGUGAAAUAGGGGGUGGAGGGGACAGGGACAUUCCUGUUUAGGUUUAUGUCUUGUAUUUUUUGUUUUCUUUCUCUUCUGUUCUGAAGAGCUUUUUAAAAGGUUGCCAAUAGAGGCAGUAGCAUGUAGGUGUGUAUGUACAGAGGUAUAAGGUAGUAGAACAUGUAGACUAUGGGGAGACAGGAGGAUGGGAUAUGCUACCUAAAGACAUCCGCCUGCAAAAGGGAGAGGCUGCACAUUAGAAGCAAGUGGGCAGCGAAGAGACUGGGUUUGUGUGUGCGUGUAUGGAGGUAGGAGCAGGUACUGGACAUCCACAGAUUCCAGGAAGGGCAGUGGGCCAAGGUCGAGUGGGAGGUGAGUCAUGGAGACCUCCAGUCCCCAGCUUCGCUUCUGCAGAAAUGUAAGCCAGGUCAAGGUGGCCAGGACAUACAUGCAGAUGACACUCAAAUGGUGGAUUUCUCCUCUCCCCAGCAUUUUAGAGUCUAUUAGACCAUGGACUGAGACAGCCAAUUUAAGCCUGCCUUCCGUUUCACUUUAGUCUGUUCCAUAAUCGCCGCAAGAUAGAAUUUGGCUUUAAACACAUCAUUUUUCAUCUCAGGGACAAAGCCUGUUUUCACCCAGUGUGCCA
ensembl:lncRNA